UCACCUUCAAAGGCUCAUUAAAACACAGGCUUGCUCUUAUGUUGACCUGCGACAGCAAAGCAGGACAAGGGGCAUGUCUGCCACGCAGGAUGAAAUGUCAUUCACAUAUCUCUGAUUUGGCUCUGUCAGAAAUGAAUAUGUAAAUGAAUUAAUAACAGAUUCAAGCAGUGAACAGAUUAGUAGAAUCCAAUCAGGUGAUGAAGCCACCUGUAUCUGGGUAUUAGAAUUUCACGGACUUCAAUCAAGUAAUACAGCUGAAAGAAGACAAAAGGAAAACUGUUUUUAACAGGCAGCAAGGCCCAGUGGGUCGAUGGACUUCAGAGUGGAAACAAAGACCAAAAUUUGAAUCCUCUUUCAGAUCUUCACAGCCUUCUGCUUUUGAGAAAGUUGCUUCCACCUCGACAAGAUGGGCAGCCACUUCAUGUCCAAUGCUGGUCAUAUGGAUCCCAAGGGGAAAAGCCCAGAGGGAGAGAGUACAGCUACUCUGAGACCGGGGGCAGGAGAAUAGAGGCUCACUAAACUCAGGUAAAGAGACUUCAUUUUCCUUUUGAAUGUUGGUGUGUAAAAUACUGUUACCUUAAGUGAAAUAAGCCAAACAAAGACAAACAACUGCAUGAUUUCACAUAUAUGUGGAAUCUAAAAAUACAGAAGUCUGAGAAACGGACAGAGAAAUGGUGGGUACCAGGGUCUGGAAGGAGGGGGAUAUGGGGAAGAUGUUGGUAAGGGGUACAAAGUUUUAGUUCUGAAAGAUAAGUUAUGGAGAUCUACUUGCAACAAUGCAGCUGUAGUUAACAAUAUUGUAUUGUAUACCUGAAAUUUGCUCAGAGAAUAGAUCUUCAGUGUUCUCAACACACAUAUAUACAUACACAAUAACACACACAAUAAUACACAAUAUUAACUGACACACACAAUAACUGAGUUGAUGUUUAUGUUGAUUAGCUUAAUUGUGAUAAAUAUUUAACAAUGUAUA